GUUUCUUUGUUCUUUUGAUAUGAACACUGAGCCUUUAAGGUUUUUUGUUAAUUGUUACAAUUAAGUUGUUUCUUGAUCUGUUGUAAGUUGUAUCUUGAUCUGAUAAGGUACUCCAUCUUUAAGAGGUAAACAAGCAACAGAUUUUUAGUUAGAAUGAGGAAAAAUCCCUGAUUUUCCUUAUCUGUAUCUGAAAAUUGGAACCAGUGUUUUUAUUGGAACCAGCUGGUUUUAAUUAAAGGCUUAUUUUCUCCUGUACAAAGACACUUCAUAACAGAACAACAAACAUGUUCACACCAAUAGUCUUGUCUGGAGAAUUGCUUGGAAAGCCUUGUGGGAUACAGAACUAGAACAAUAGUUUACAUAUAUCACCUUGAUUAAGGAGUGAAAAAAAAAAAUAAAUGAAGUAUUUAUUGAGCCUGUUGUGAACUGCAUCAACAUAGGAUAACUUAUCUCCAGUCAUUAGGCAGUGAAAUUCAAAGCCACAGGGCACAAUUAAAAAGUGACCUGAUACCUGCUGUUUCCAAUACAUCUUCUGAAAUACAAAAAAAGAGACAACACAUUUUAUCAAGGGACUGAAACAUUUUUCACUGUAUAUUCCUACUUCAAAAUUAGUCCAGUGCUAUAUGACCAGGAAUGCUGCAUAAAACAAGUUUGAUCUUUACCCCCCACCCCCUCUUUUCAAAACUCACUGCUGGGUACUAAUAAUCUCAGUGAAAGUGCCAAAGGUGAAUGAAUGAAGAUGGAAAUUGGAGUCAUUUGCAGUGUGACUUGAUGCAAUGACACUGUUGUGGGACUAGGCAGAGAAACUUCUACUGUGCCACCUUCCACCUUCGCCAGACCUGAACUGCAAGGAGAAUUCACCAGCUAAAGACACAAAACACAAGGUACAGGUCAGCAAGCCUUUACCCGCACUGCACUCCAGGCAGGGCCCUUUGUUUUCUGGCAGGAUCCCAGCCCUCCUGGCCCGCACGCCUCGGGCCGCCCCACAGCCACGCGGCCCAACGCCGGGAUCCAGGAAGCUUCGGCCCAAGAGUAGGACAGGCCGGCCGGGCUCCCGCCCCCGGGCGGUGCCUCCUCCCCCAGCGCUCUCUCCCGUGGGCCUCGUCGGCCGCCGUCCGCCCGCACCAGGUGAACGCGUAUCCCUCCGCGGCGGCCGCCCCCAGCGCUGUGCU
rnacentral:lncRNA from 1 species